UACGUAGGUUCCAAGCGUUACCCGGUUUUAUUGGGCGUAAAGCGUCUGUAGGUGGUUUUUUAAGUCUUGUUUCAAAGACUCCGGCUCAACCGGAGAAAGGGGCAGGAUACUGAAAGACUAGAGUUAUAUCGGGGUUACUGGAAUUGACUGUGUAGGGGUAAAAUCCGUGGAUACAGUCAAGAACACCAAGCGCGAAGGCGGGUAACCAGGUAUACACUGACACUCAGAGACGAAAGCUAGGGUAGCAAAUCAG
rnacentral:rRNA from 1 species